rnacentral:misc_RNA from 1 species
GAUGAAGAACGUAGCGAAAUGCGAUAACUAAUGUGAAUUGCAGAAUUCCGUGAAUCAUCGAGUCUUUGAACGCACAUUGCGCCCCCUGGUAUUCCGGGGGGCAUGCCUGUCCGAGCGUCAUUGCUGCCCUCAAGCACGGCUUGUGUGUUGGGCCCCGUCCUCCGAUCCCGGGGGACGGGCCCGAAAGGCAGCGGCGGCACCGCGUCCGGUCCUCGAGCGUAUGGGGCUUUGUCACCCGCUCUGUAGGCCCGGCCGGCGCUUGCCGAUCAACCCAAAUUUUUUAUCCAGGUUGACCUCGGAUCAGGUAGGGAUACCCGCUGAACUUAAGCAUAUCAAUAAGCGGAGGA